ACCACAGCUGUGACCUACACCACAGCUGCAGCAACACUGGAUCCUUAACCCGCUGCACCGCAGCUGGAACUCCAUGUGAGUCAGCUUUUGAUCUGUGUGAUGAUUCAUCUCUCUCCCCCAGCAAACUGGGAACUCUGGAGACAGGUCCAGAUGGCAAACCACAGACAGCUUUCUGCCUGGUUUCUCUGGUGGAACAGGAUCAGAGAAUGAAGGAAAUGCAAUUAACAGAAAAGGAUGGCUUGGAGUUCCCGUCGUGGC